UAUGUGAUCGUCUCUCGCAUAUCAAUAAGCGGAGGAAAAGAAACUAACAAGGAUUCCCCUAGUAACGGCGAGUGAAGCGGGAAGAGCUCAAAUUUGAAAUCUUAAAGGGUUUCCCUUUACGAAUUGUAGUUUAAAGAAGUGUUUUCUGUCGAGGUUUUGGUAAAAGUUCUUUGGAAUAGGACAUCAUAGAGGGUGAGAAUCCCGUAUUUGACCUUUACUUUCAACUUUGUGAUACACUUUCAAAGAGUCGGAUUGUUUGGGAAUGCAGUCCAAAAUGGGUGGUAAAUUUCAUCUAAAGCUAAAUAUUGGCGAGAGACCGAUAGCGAACAAGUACCGUGAGGGAAAGAUGAAAGGAACUUUGAAAAGAGAGUUAAACAGUACGUGAAAUUGUCAAAAGGGAAGCGUUUGACACCAGUGUUGUUUUUCUGAAAAUCAAUUAAAGAACUGUUUAUGCUAAGUUGUUUAGACUUUAUCAGCUAACUGUUUAGUUUUGAGCUUUUCUUUAAUGCACUUUUCAGUUAACAAGUCAACAUCAAUUUCUUUUGCUGUAAAAAAGCUUGAGGAAGGUGGCUUGAGAUUCGUCUUAAGUGUUUAUAGCCUCUUGCCUAUGCAGUCGGAGAGAUUGAGGUCUGCAGCGUAGAUCCUUCGGGGCUAAAUGCAUUUGUGCUAAGUUAUAGCAUUUUAUAGACAACUUGUUGACUAUGAUUUGUCUUGUAGCUUACUCGCUUAUGUUAUUUUACCUACGCUUAGGAUGUUGAUCUACAGAGCGAGAGU
rnacentral:rRNA from 1 species